rnacentral:sRNA from 1 species
AUUUGUGGCUAUGGUAGCAGUAGGAACAAUGGUGAGCCGCUGUUAGAGGUCACUGGGUUUCAACUCCUGUUCAGGACCAUCACAACUGCAGUCGGCAAAGAGAACAGUGAGUACCAGAGCAGAGGGCUGUCAGUCAGACACAUCCCUGAGAUCCUCUGCCUGCUGUACCUUCGUCUUCUCACUGCACCACAAACAUUGCCCUGUGAAUUUUGUUAGCAGCUCCAGAAAUAAAGUACAUGGACUUCCUUGGUUGGCCUGGAAUUUGGAACCUGCUGUGUAGAUCAGGUUGGCCCAUGGAUCUUUUACCCACACCACCGUUCCGUUUGGUUGACUGCCAUUGCUAGUGCGGGGAUGGGAAGGCAUGCUGGGGAAUGGAGAGGGCUGAGACGUGUGGCAGCUCCAGGUAAGGGAUAACCAUGGGCUCAAUGUCUGUUCACCCUUCUGUUCCCUUAAAGUCACGGCCUCAAAUGGGUGGCAUCUGUGGGUGUAAUAAUAAUUCUGCCUACUCUGGCUUUAAAGGUGAAUUUUGCAAUUUUUGAAAAGGUCCUUAGAAUCACAUUGCAGAAUU